rnacentral:rRNA from 1 species
UACGAACUGUGCAAACGUUAUUCGGAAUCACUGGGCUUACAGGGUGCGUAGGCGGUUUGUCAAGUCGGGUGUGAAAUCCCCCGGCUCAACCGGGGAAUUGCGCCCUAAACUGGCGAGCUGGAGUGAGAUAGGGGUGUGUGGAACUUCCAGUGGAGCGGUGAAAUGUGUUGAUAUUGGAAGGAACGCCAGUGGCGAAAGCGACACACUGGGUCUCAACUGACGCUGAGGCACGAAAGCCAGGGGAGCAAACGGG